rnacentral:rRNA from 1 species
GCCUGUUUAUCAAAAACAUGGCUUUUUGAGUUUAAUUUAAAGUCUGGCCUGCCCAAUGAUUAAUUUUGAAUGGCCGCGGUAUUAUGACCGUGCAAAGGUAGCAUAAUCAUUAGUUUUUUAAUUGAAAGCUAGAAUGAACGGUCGGACAAGGGAAUUUCUGUCUCUAUUUAAUUUUUAGAAUUUAAUUUUUUAGUUAGAAAGCUUAAAUGUGUUUGAGGGACGAGAAGACCCUAUAGAAUUUUAUAUAAUUUUCUUGAAUUGAUUUUUGGAAAAAUUAGUUUAUUUAAGGUUAUUAUAUUUUGUUGGGGUGACAGAGAAAUUUGAGAAACUUUUUUUAAACGUAUUCAUUAAUUGAUGUUUUUUUGAUCCAUUAUUUUUUGAUUAUAAGAUUAAAUUACCUUAGGGAUAACAGCGUUAUUAAUUUGGAGAGUUCUUAUCGAUAAAUUAGUUUGCGACCUCGAUGUUGGAUUAAAAUUAACUUUAGGUGUAGGGGCUUAAAGGUUAAGUCUGUUCGACUUUUAAAAUUUUACAUGAUCUGAGUUCAGACCGG